rnacentral:rRNA from 1 species
UACGAAGGAUUCGAGCGUUAUCCGGAUUUAUUGGGUUUAAAGGGUGCGUAGGCGGACCGAUAAGUCAGUGGUGAAAUCCUGUUGCUUAACAACAGAACUGCCAUUGAUACUGCCGGUCUUGAGUACAGUUGAGGUAGGCGGAAUGUGUCAUGUAGUGGUGAAAUACUUAGAUAUGACACAGAACACCGAUUGCGAAGGCAGCUUGCUAAACUGUAACUGACGCUGAGGCACGAAAGCAUGGGGAGCAAACAGGAUUAGAUACCCUGGUAGUCCAUGCCCUAAACGAUGAUUACUCGAUGUGUGCGAUACACUGUACGCGUCUAAGCGAAAGCAUUAAGUAAUCCACCUGGGAAGUACGACCGCAAGGUUGAA